GCUCACGCUUGGCGGGAAAGAACUAGGGUUUGUUGUGAGCGCCAUGGGAUUUAUGGUAACGACGAUCCUCUUCUUCGGCGCUGCGCUGCUGGGCUGCCUGGGAUUCACAUUCUUCUACAACAAAGGGCCAUCCAUGAAUUUGCUACAUGUAACUUUGGUGAUCACCGCUGUGGUCUCGUGCUGGAUGCUAUGGGCGAUUGUGUAUAUUGCACAGAUGAAUCCCUUGAUAAAUCCCAUUCUCUUGGACGAGGAAUGACACUACUUCCACACUCCUACUGCCACAUUUUUUGUAGCCAGGCCAGAUUACGCGACAACGAACAGUGGAUGACAAAACUUCGUGAUUUGGGAUCUUAUGAUCUCUCGAGUUUCAAAAGGGGGAUUACAAAAGUUUCGAGCGAAUGGCCAUCGCCGCCACAUCUCCUCCAUCGCCUUUGGUUCCACUGCUACUUCUCUCCAUUCUGUUUCUCUUCAAAGGCAAAGGCAUCCCGGGCUUGAAAGAUGGCUUGACAACAUUCUCCGUUUGGGCUAUACUGCUGCCUCUCAUCAUCUUUGUUGCUGCGAUGAUCAUCCAUCCAAGAUCCUCGUCUCAAACCAACACAGCAAACUUACCAAAGCUUUCAUCCACACCAAACUAUAAUCACUUCGACACUUAUGGCGCUGGAGCUUCAAAUUCCUCCGAAGGCCCCAGAUGGGGAUACAUUCUCAUGUCCAUGCUCUUUGCGCUGCUCAUGCAACUGUUUAAAGAGAAGAAAAAGGAUUAGAGCCAAA